AUCUAUGGCCAUGCCACCCUGAAUAUGCCUGAUCCCACCUGAUCUCGGAAGCUGAGCAGGGUUGGGCCUGGUUAGUACUUGGAUGAGAGACCAUCUAGGAAUACCGGGUGCUGUAGUCG
rnacentral:rRNA from 1 species